rnacentral:rRNA from 1 species
AUGAUCAUCUGUUUCUUUAGUGCAACAUUCUUCAAAGUAUGCCAUGAGAACUUCCAAAAGAAAAAAAAGUAUGCCAUGAGAAUUUGGUUAUCUGAUUUUUGCUUCUGGAGGGGUGUACAAGACGGCCGAGCUGUGGCAGGUGAAGGAGCCGCUGCCGCUGCCCGCGCCGAAGAAGCGCAACUGCUCCAUGGUGUUCACCCUCAAGGAGAUGGAGGAGGCCACCAGCAUGUUCAGCGACAAGAACCUCAUCGGCAAGGGUGGCUUCGGCCGGGUUUACAGGGGCGUGCUCAAAGAUGGGUAGAUUCUCUUGAUUGGAGUGGAGAGGAGCAGAGACGAGAGGAGCAGCAGAAGUGGACAGCGCAGCGGCUGACCUCAAGCUCUUGA